rnacentral:rRNA from 1 species
ACCGGCGCACGGGUGAGUAACACGUAUCCAACCUGCCGAUGACUCGGGGAUAGCCUUUCGAAAGAAAGAUUAAUACCCGAUGGCAUAGUUCUUCCGCAUGGUAGAACUAUUAAAGAAUUUCGGUCAUCGAUGGGGAUGCGUUCCAUUAGGUUGUUGGCGGGGUAACGGCCCACCAAGCCUUCGAUGGAUAGGGGUUCUGAGAGGAAGGUCCCCCACAUUGGAACUGAGACACGGUCCAAACUCCUACGGGAGGCAGCAGUGAGGAAUAUUGGUCAAUGGACGAGAGUCUGAACCAGCCAAGUAGCGUGAAGGAUGACUGCCCUAUGGGUUGUAAACUUCUUUUAUACGGGAAUAAAGUGAGGCACGUGUGCCUUUUUGUAUGUACCGUAUGAAUAAGGAUCGGCUAACUCCGUGCCAGCAGCCGCGGUAAUACGGAGGAUCCGAGCGUUAUCCGGAUUUAUUGGGUUUAAAGGGAGCGUAGGCGGACGCUUAAGUCAGUUGUGAAAGUUUGCGGCUCAACCGUAAAAUUGCAGUUGAUACUGGGUGUCUUGAGUACAGUAGAGGCAGGCGGAAUUCGUGGUGUAGCGGUGAAAUGCUUAGAUAUCACGAAGAACUCCGAUUGCGAAGGCAGCUUGCUGGACUGUAACUGACGCUGAUGCUCGAAAGUGUGGGUAUCAAACAGGAUUAGAUACC